ensembl:lncRNA
AUGGGAAAACUUGAAAAUGGCUGUCUAGCAAUUAUCAACAAUCAAUUUGACAGAUAUUUUAUAUAUUUUUUAAGAAUAAUGGGCAGGUGUUGUACAACCCCUAAAGACUCACAGCUGUAUUCGAUGGCAAAGGUGAUUCUAACAUGUACUGACUCUUGGGGUGAUGUGAUUCUAACAUGUACUGACUCUUGGGGUGAUGUGAUUCUAACGUGUACUGACUCUUGGGGUGAUGUGAUUCUAACGUGUACUGACUCUUGGGGUGAUGUGAUUCUAACGUGUACUGACUCUUGGGGUGAUGUGAUUCUAACGUGUACUGACUCUUGGGGUGAUGUGAUUCUAACUAUUCGUGUGUGUCGUAUGAUUGACAGGUUUAAGAAGUACAAGCAGGCCGGCAGCCAUUCCAACUCCUUCAGGCUGACCAACGGUAGAUCAGAUGAUACAGAGCUCCAGAGUGUGCCGCUAUUGGCCCGCUCGCCUAGCACCAACAGGAAGUACCCACCCCUUGUUGUUGACAAGCUGGAGGAGGAUAUGAAUCGUCGCAUGGCUGAUGACAACAAGCUCUUCCGGGAGGAGUUCAAUGCGCUGCCGGUGUGUCCUAUCCAGGCGUCAUGCGACGCGGCCUCUAAGGAGGAGAACAAGGAGAAGAACCGAUACGUCAACAUCCUGCCAUAUGAUCACUCCAGGGUGCAUCUGUCGUCUCUAGAGGGAGUUCCAGACUCUGACUUCGUCAAUGCGUCCUUCAUCAACGGUUACCAAGAGAAGAACAAGUUCAUUGCAGCUCAAGGGCCAAAGGAGGAGACGGUAAACGACUUCUGGAGAAUGAUCUGGGAACAGAACACCGCCACCAUCGUGAUGGUGACCAACCUGAAGGAGAGAAAAGAGUGUAAGUGUGCCCAGUACUGGCCUGACCAGGGCUGCUGGACCUACGGCAACAUCCGGGUCUCUGUGGAAGACAUGAUGGUGCUGGUGGACUACACUAUCCGCAAGUUCUGCAUCCAACAGGUGGGGGAUGUGGGGGGUAAGAAGCCCCAGCGGCUGGUGACCCAGUUCCACUUCACCAGCUGGCCAGACUUUGGCGUUCCCUUCACACCCAUCGGCAUGCUUAAGUUCCUCAAGAAGGUCAAGACCUGCAACCCCCAGUACUCUGGCCCCAUCGUGGUCCACUGCAGUGCGGGGGUGGGGAGGACAGGUACCUUCAUAGUGAUAGACGCCAUGUUGGAUAUGAUGAACACCGAGAGGAAGGUGGACGUCUUUGGCUUCGUCACGCGCAUCAGAGCCCAGCGCUGCCAAAUGGUCCAGACCGACAUGCAAUACGUGUUCAUCUUCCAGGCCAUGCUGGAGCACUACCUGUACGGAGACACAGAGCUGGAGGUGACCUCCCUGGAGUCCCACCUGGCCAAGCUCUACGCCCCCUCCGCCGCCGGCUGUGGGGGCAUGGAAGCAGAGUUCAAGAAGCUGACCUCCAUCAAGAUCCAGAACGACAAGAUGAGGACGGGCAACCUGCCGGCAAACAUGAAGAAGAACCGAGUUCUCCAGAUCAUCCCAUACGAGUUCAACAGAGUGAUCAAUCCAGUCAAGAGAGGGGAGGAGAGCACGGAUUAUGUCAACGCUUCCUUCAUUGAUGGCUACCGUCAGAAGGACUCGUACAUGGCCAGUCAGGGCCCGCUGCAGCACACCAUCGAAGACUUCUGGAGGAUGAUCUGGGAGUGGAGGAGCUGUUCCAUAGUCAUGCUCACUGAGCUGGAGGAGAGAGGACAGGUAUGGAGAGAUGGACCUUUUACUCAGCCCAGUCAUGCCAUGCCAGAACUGAAGAGGGAGGAGGAGAGUGAGAGCUACACGUUAGAGACCUCCUGGCAGUUCCAUUUUCAUGGCUGGCCGGAGGUGGGCAUCCCCAGCGACGGAAAGGGGAUGAUCAACAUCAUCGCCGCGGUCCAGAAGCAGCAGCAACAAUCUGGCAACCACCCCAUCACUGUCCACUGCAGUGCGGGCGCGGGGCGGACGGGGACCUUCUGUGCCCUGAGUACGGUCCUGGAGCGGGUGAAGGCUGAGGCCAUCCUGGAUGUCUUUCAGACUGUCAAGAGCCUCCGGCUGCAGAGGCCCCACAUGGUGCAGACACUGGAGCAGUACGAGUUCUGCUACAAAGUGGUCCAGGAGUAUAUCGAUGCUUUUUCUGACUACGCCAACUUCAAGUAGGGACCCACACAGGGGACGGACAUCCGUACACAGUCAUAAACACACACCAAACCCACACGUACCCGACGGAAAGAAACAAACUGUUCACGGCUUAGAUGACUGGGCAGCCUGCGUGCACAGAGGAAAAGGGAAUUGAAGUUUUGUGACGGAGCCAAGUGCAGCGCUGCAGUGUACCGGAGGGAGUGAAUAUCAGAGAUGCCUUCUUGAAUAUUUUGUAAUAUUGAGCUUGUUAAUACGGCCCCUUGUACCUACCCCCCCCCACAUCGACACUCCCCAAUCCACCCAAUGUACAUAUACUGUACUUACCCUGUCACAUUUUUUUUUUUUUUUUUAGGUCAAGUUUAAGUUUGGCUGCAUUUUUAGGGUGACAUAAUGUGUUUUAUGGGUAUGUGUGUGUACAUAGACCGUGCCAGUCAAAGGUUUGGACACACUUACUCAUUCAAGGGUUUUUCUUUAUUUGUACUAUUUUCUACAUUGUAGAAUAAUAGUGAAGACACAAACUAUGAAGUAACACAUAUGAAAUCAUGUACUAACCAAAAAAGUGUUAAACAAAUCAAAAUAUAUGGUAUAUUUGAGAUUCUUCAAAGUAGCCAUCCUUUACCUUGAUGACAGCUUUGCAAACUCUUGGUGUUGUCUUAACCUGGAAUGCUUUUCCAACAGUCUUGAAGGAGUUCCCACAUAUGCUGAGCACUUGUUGGCUGCUUUUCCUUCACUCUGCGGUCCAACUCCUCCCAAACCAUCUCAAUUGGGUUGAGGUCAGGUGAUUGUGGAGGCCAGGUCAUCUGAUGCAGCACUCCAUCACUCUCAUUCUUGGUCAAAUAGCCCUUACACAGCCUGGAGGUGUGUGAGGUCAUUGUCCUGUUGAAAAACAAAUGAUACACUCACUAAGCGCAAACCAGAUGAGAUGGCGUAUCACUGCAGAAUGCUGGUUACGCUUGCCUUGUAUUCUAAAUAAAUCACUGACAGUGUCACCA